rnacentral:rRNA from 1 species
CAAUCCAUGAGUAAAGCGGCGUACGGGUGAGUAACACGUGGGUAAUCUACCUUUUAGUGGGGAAUAACCCUGGGAAACCGGGGCUAAUACCGCAUAAUUCUGUAAAGAGAAAGCAGCAAUGCGCUGAAAGAGGAGCCCGCGGCCGAUUAGCUAGUUGGUGAGGUAAUGGCUCACCAAGGCGGUGAUCGGUAGCCGGCCUGAGAGGGCACACGGCCACACUGGCACUGAAACACGGGCCCG